AAGCCCAUCCAUUGAUCCAUGUUUAUGACUUUGUAAUCAUUCUGAAUCUUAAGGUACUCAAUGAAAUAAUCAACUUGGGCUCGGAAGUGAGAUCCUAAAACAAGAUCCAGUAACUGACAGAUGCUCUCUAUGUCUAUACUCUUUUGUUUCUCCUCUGUUAAGCAAUACCGGAAUGAAUAGGAAUAGAAAUCCACAAAGUUCGAUGGCCUCUUGACCUCCUUCUCUAACUCCGGAAGAGCCUUCUUUAAUUUAUUUACAGUAUCAGC
rnacentral:misc_RNA from 1 species